GAUGAACGCUGGCGGCGUGCUUAACACAUGCAAGUCGAACGGAAAGGCUCCUGCUUGCUGGGGUACUCGAGUGGCGAACGGGUGAGUAACACGUGGGUGAUCUGCCCUGCACUUCGGGAUAAGCCUGGGAAACUGGGUCUAAUACCGGAUAGGACGAUGGUUUGGAUGCCAUUGUGGAAAGUUUUUCGGUGUGGGAUGAGCUCGCGGCCUAUCAGCUUGUUGGUGGGGUAAUGGCCUACCAAGGCGUCGACGGGUAGCCGGCCUGAGAGGGUGUACGGCCAGAUUGGGACUGAGAUACUGCCCAGACUCCUACGGGAGGCAGCAGUGAGGAAUAUUGCACAAUGGGCGCAAGCCUGAUGCAGCGACGCCGCGUGGGGGAUGACGGCCUUCGGGUUGUAAACUCCUUUCGCUAGGGACGAAGCGCAAGUGACGUUACCUGGAGAAGAAGCACCGGCUAACUACGUG
rnacentral:rRNA from 1 species